rnacentral:rRNA from 1 species
UACGGGGGGAGCAAGCGUUGUUCGGAUUUACUGGGCGUAAAGGGCGCGUAGGCGGCCACCGCAAGUCAGUUGUGAAAGCUCUGGGCUUAACCCCAGAAAGGUCAACUGAUACUGCGGGGCUAGAGUGCAGAAGGGGCAACUGGAAUUCUCGGUGUAGCGGUGAAAUGCGUAGAUAUCGAGAGGAACACCUGCGGCGAAGGCGGGUUGCUGGGCUGACACUGACGCUGAAGUGCGAAAGCUAGGGGAGCGAACGGG